rnacentral:rRNA from 1 species
UACGAACUGUGCAAACGUUAUUCGGAAUCACUGGGCUUAAAGGGUGCGUAGGCGGUGCGGAAAGUUGGGUGUGAAAUACCUCGGCUUAACCGAGGAAUUGCGCCCAAUACUACCGUGCUUGAGUGAGACAGAGGUGAGCGGAACUUAGGGUGGAGCGGUGAAAUGCGUUGAUAUCCUAAGGAACACCGGUGGCGAAAGCGGCUCACUGGGUCUUGUCUGACGCUGAGGCACGAAAGCCAGGGUAGCGAACGGG